rnacentral:lncRNA from 1 species
CAUGGAUUACCCUGACCAAGAUUUUGCUAAAUUGAAAUACACUGAUGCAUAUCUCCUACCAAUUUAGAGGGGUCAAUUCCAUCUUGACUCACACACUGACUUGAUAAGUACUUGACUACACCUAGUAUCCUUCUAUCACUAAGUUAAAAAUUUAGAUAGUCUGAUACUAAAGUAUAGUGAGCUGCUUACAAAUCACUGUGGUGGUCUC